rnacentral:snRNA from 1 species
AGCUUUGCACAGUGGCAGUAUCGUAGCCAAUAAGGUUUAUCCAAGGCGCGAUUAUUGCUAAUAGAGAAGUUUGGAGUCAAAUUUGCCAAGCCUAUUUAUGUAAAGAUAUAUUUGACAAGUCUUAAAACU